AAUUGUAUAGGAAAUGCAGUGUUUCUAUUUUAAAAAAAUAAAGUUUUGAACGGGAAUGCGAAGUUUUUGUGAAUAAAAAUAGAAGGAGAUAAUAGGAUGCCAAUGAUUGUGGAAAAAAAAGUUGGAGCGCAUAAAGCUGCUGCUGCGGAUUGUGCAAAAGUAGUAGUCGCAGUAGAGCUGCGUACGUCGAAUUGUGCAAUUUUUAUUCUAUUUCUUUCCCUAAACCAUACCUACAAUUUAGAAAAGCAGAAAUUAAUAAUGCGAGUAUCAAAUUCCACUUAAAACGCGUGAAGCGUGCAGGAAAUGCAAUAAAUGAGUGAAGUUGUGUGGACGUAAAAAUUCCAAGUUUAAAUCAAUCAGGAGCGUUACAAAAGAUAUAUACAUAUAUUUGUUUUUUACACUUCUUUGGAGAAUCUGGACCUACAGAAGAGCAUCCAGGCGCGAUGGAAUACAGUAAAAAAAGCUAGAAGGAGCUUAGAGCAAAAGUACUAACACUUCUCAUUGAAGUCUGAGGAAUUUACUUCAAGUACAGGGAGCAGUUGUUUUUCUGGAGAAAGAAGAGCGGAGAAACAAAUUCAGCUGAUGUCGAAUUCAAUGAAGUCGAAACAUUCUGUUAACAAUAAUAUUGACAGUUGAAACAUUCUGUGAUCUUGAGCCAACUUUUUCUUGAGUCAACUUGUUCUUUUUUCUUUACGUAAAGAAUGGGGCCGAAACUCUUGAAUUCGCGGGAACUGUCAUGGCGGCCACGCAUGUGCACUAUCUAUUUCGGAAUUGAAAUGAAAAGGUCUAUAUUAGGAAAAUUG